AUUGAACGCUGGCGGCAUGCCUUACACAUGCAAGUCGAACGGCAGCACGGGUGCUUGCACCUGGUGGCGAGUGGCGAACGGGUGAGUAAUACAUCGGAACGUACCUUAUCGUGGGGGAUAACGCAGCGAAAGCUGUGCUAAUACCGCAUACGCCCUGAGGGGGAAAGAGGGGGAUCGCAAGACCUCGCGCGAUUAGAGCGGCCGAUGCCUGAUUAGCUUGUUGGUGGGGUAAAAGCCCACCAAGGCGACGAUCAGUAGCUGGUCUGAGAGGACGAUCAGCCACACUGGGACUGAGACACGGCCCAGACUCCUACGGGAGGCAGCAGUGGGGAAUUUUGGACAAUGGGGGCAACCCUGAUCCAGCAAUGCCGCGUGAGUGAAGAAGGCCUUCGGGUUGUAAAGCUCUUUCGUCAGGGAAGAAACACCGGCUCUAACACAGUCCGGGAAUGACGGUACCUGAAGAAUAAGCACCGGCUAACUACGUGCCAGCCGCCGCCGUAA
rnacentral:rRNA from 1 species